rnacentral:ribozyme from 1 species
UGUUUAUAAAACAACUUGUGAUCAGUGUGUGAAGAGUAAAAUAAAGUGUGAUGGAGGGAAGCCAAUGUGCAAGCAAUGUCUGUUUCGAAAAAGGACCAACACCG